rnacentral:rRNA from 1 species
GUAGUCCACGCCCUAAACGAUGUCAACUAGUUGUCGGAUCUGUUAAAAGAUUUGGUAACGUAGCUAACGCGUGAAGUUGACCGCCUGGGAAGUACGGUCGCAAGAUUAAAACUCAAAGGAAUUGACGGGGACCCGCACAAGCGGUGGAUUAUGUGGAUUAAUUCGAUGCAACGCGAAAAACCUUACCUACCCUUGACAUGCUCGAAAUUCCACAGAGAUGUGGAAGUGCCCGAAAGGGAAUCGAGGCACAGGUGCUGCAUGGCUGUCGUCAGCUCGUGUCGUGAGAUGUUGGGUUAAGUCCCGCAACGAGCGCAACCCUUGUCACUAAUUGCCAUCAUUAAGUUGGGCACUUUAGUGAGACUGCCGGUGACAAACCGGA